CUUAACCUGGAAGGAGGUUAGAAGACAUGAGUAUUCCCUGUAAGGCGAUUGGCCAUGCGUGAAAACUCAAAUGGCACUGAACAGUUCGGGAGAACUCCUUGUGUGAAUUGAUCCUCAGCUAUAAAUCCCUCUUUAAUUAUUUUACAAUUACUACGUUAUCACUUACAUAGUUUUCCCUCUAGAUUGCUGCAGUGAGCAUCAGUGUUUGUGAAAGCUUUAAUGAAGUCAAGGUUCCACAGAAUCCUCAUUUAGAAUCUUGGUUUUGCUGAAGUCAAGUUGAAGAGUCUCUGUCAUGCCCAAGUCUGCUCUGAUACUCAGAAGAUGCAAAAAUUAUACUGUAGGAUUGAGCCUGGGGUUCUGCUCUUGAAGUUCCACUUCUCUGGCCAAGCAUGCCAUAAUUGCAGUGAAGGACAGCUGAUCACUUUCCAGCAUCGAUAAAUAUAACACUGAAAAUGA